UGAGCAGGCUACCUUAUCGCUGCUUCUUUCGAGAAGGAGAGGAAAGUCCGGACACCAUAGUGCAUUGUAGCGGAUAACAUCCGUCCGUCGUAAGGCGAGGACAAGUGCAGCAGAAAGUAUGUACAGGUAAUGCUGUAGUGAAACCAGGUAAACUCUACGAGGUGCAAUGCCAUGUAAAUGAACGCUUGAGGGCGGCACGCUCGAUGUUCAAGGGUAGGCAGAUAAAAGUUAUGAGUAAUUGUAAUUUUAGAUAAAUGAUAAGGCUCGACAGGAUCCGGCUUACGGCCUGCUUUUUUA
rnacentral:RNase_P_RNA from 1 species